rnacentral:misc_RNA from 1 species
AACCAUAGAAACCUGCGGAGUACCUGCGGAGGGAUCAUUACCGAGUGAGGGCCCUCCGGGUCCAACCUCCCACCCGUGUUUAUCGUACCUUGUUGCUUCGGCGGGCCCGCCGCAAGGCCGCCGGGGGGCAUCCGCCCCCGGGUCCGCGCCCGCCGAAGACACCUGUGAACGCUGUCUGAAGAUUGCAGUCUGAGCGAAAAGCUAAAUUAUUUAAAACUUUUAGCAACGGAUCUCAGAUCG